ensembl:processed_transcript Gm15527 predicted gene 15527
GAGAGUCGCGGGCAGGCAGCAGAUCCUGCUUGGGUCUUUUAGGAUGAGCAGGAUGAUAUUGUCUCACAUUUGCUGAGUCUAGAAGGCAGGUCUCUCCAGUGGUUUUUGGAGCAAAUGUUUUGAUGGGCCAGCGUGGACACUGCCCAAACAUACAAGCAACUUGCCUAAUCUCCAGCUGGAAGCAAAUGCUACUCAUGAUGUGCUGUGGCACUAUGGUGGGCACAGGAAACUAAGGAUAACUAACAUUCAGGCCUUCACUUCAAGGAGCCAAUAUUUGCAAGAGUGAAGAGAAAUGGCCUUGAACCGUGUAGUCAUGUAACAAUUCCUGCUCCGGGACUCGGAAGAGGUGAACUUGGGUACAAUAUACCCUCAUGCCUUCUGGGUCCAGAGACCAGAUCUGAAGCAGAAACCCACUGGGUACACACUGGAAGCUGGCUGUGUGUAAAAGCUCCCAGAGAGACUCCAGUGAGGGAUCAUGCAGUUGCUGAAACAUUAUUGUUAUAAAUGAUACAGCAUGGAGCUAAAUAAAUGAGCUUUUGAAACACUGGAGCGAGCAGUAUUCCACACAUGUGUAUAUCCACACUUGCUUAUCCACUCAUCUGUGGGUGGAUAUUUAAGUUGCUUCCUCCUCUGGGCUAUUGUGAACAUGAACACUGUGAACAUCUGUGUGGGGUGAUGGCCUCAGCACCUGUUUUUAAUUCUUCAGGGGAAUGGCACCACCCACUGUUCUGGGUCUUCCUGAAUCAAUCGACAAUCAAAACAACCCC